UUUGUAUUGGCCAUAACUGGAACCUCCAUCUGGGGUUUUAUCUUUGUCUGUAGGUUACUCUGCUGUAAGAGGUCCAGCAAGAAGAUCAAACCAGAGUAAUUAAUCUAAAAAUGUCUUUCAUUUAAUAAAUAUACAAUGUUACUACAGGGAUAUGCUAGUAGCUAAACAAAAGAUAACAUACGAAUAUUUCUGCUUCAUAUUCAAUGUUCUGUUAAGACUGUAAAACUUUUAACUUCUAAACUGCAUUAAAAUUUUACUUCUAGACAUACUAAAGAUUUACCUUUACCUAAAUACUCUGGCAUUGCUCUGACUAGUUGAGUGCUUCUUCUCUGCAGCUUGUGUGACAUUUUCUGUACACAACUGAUUAAAGAUGUUGAAUUUCA